CCUACGGGAGGCAGCAGUGAGGAAUAUUGGUCAAUGGGCGCGAGCCUGAACCAGCCAAGUAGCGUGAAGGAUGACUGCCCUACGGGUUGUAAACUUCUUUUAUAAAGGAAUAAAGUGAGGCACGUGUGCCUUUUUGUAUUUACUUUAUGAAUAAGGAUCGGCUAACUCCGUGCCAGCAGCCGCGGUAAUACGGAGGAUCCGAGCGUUAUCCGGAUUGAUUGGGUUUAAAGGGAGCGUAGGUGGAUUGUUAAGUCAGUUGUGAAAGUUUGCGGCUCAACCGUAAAAUUGCAGUUGAAACUGGCAGUCUAGAGUACAGUAGAGGUGGGCGGAAUUCGUGGUGUAGCGGUGAAAUGCUUAGAUAUCACGAAGAACUCCGAUAGCGAAGGCAGUUCACUGGACUGCAACUGACACUGAGGCUCGAAAGUGUGGGUAUCAAACAGGAUUAGAUACCCUUGUAGUC
rnacentral:rRNA from 1 species